AGAGUUUGAUCCUGGCUCAGGAUGAACGCUAGCGAUAGGCUUAACACAUGCAAGUCGAGGGGCAGCAUGGUCUUAGCUUGCUAAGACUGAUGGCGACCGGCGCACGGGUGCGUAACGCGUAUGCAACUUGCCUCACAGAGGGGGAUAACCCGUCGAAAGACGGACUAAUACCGCGUACACUCCAGCUUGGGCAUCCAGGCUAGAGGAAAUGAAAUUCGCUGUGAGAUAGGCAUGCGUCCCAUUAGCUAGUUGGUGAGGUAACGGCUCACCAAGGCGACGAUGGGUAGGGGAACUGAGAGGUUGAACCCCCACACUGGUACUGAGACACGGACCAGACUCCUACGGGAGGCAGCAGUGAGGAAUAUUGGUCAAUGGGCGAGAGCCUGAACCAGCCAAGUCGCGUGAAGGAUGACUGUCUUAUGGAUUGUAAACUUCUUUUGUAGGGGAAUAAAGAAUGGUACGUGUACCAUAGUGAAUGUACCCUACGAAUAAGCAUCGGCUAACUCCGUGCCAGCAGCCGCGGUAAU
rnacentral:rRNA from 1 species